UACUUUUGACACAGCCAGUACCAGCUCUCGCUGCUUUUGCUGGAACAAACUGUUCAUCUGUUCAAUUUCCUCCACUAAAAGGAAGAAAGCACAAUAGCAGCAGCUGAGAAAGAACCAAGUGUGGGUUGCAUCCAAGGCAGCAGUUAAGGGAACAGAGAACACCCUGCAGUUCUUCAGAACAAUGCUGGAGCCAGGUCUACAACAGGCAGUUACAAAUGAACUGGACACAAAAAUCCUUUGUAGAUUUUUAAAACAUUCAGUUGAUUGACUCUGCACCGGAACAUUUUAACUGAAAAGCUUUAAAUUUUAAAAUGAAAGUUCCACAGUCCAAGAAUGUUUUAUGAGCUAUUUCAGACAACAACCCCUCCAAUAUGACCUCUCCAGAGCUGCUCACCGAGUUUUCCAUUGCUGAGUCUUUUCUGCUCCACAUGGCCUUUGAGCGCUCUCACUUUCUUCAACUUGGCUUCCUGAUUAUCAGCAAUUUCCUUUAGUCGCUUAAGUUUUUCCUUUUCAGCAGCUUGCUGUUGCUGUCGCUGAUCCUGCUGUUUCAAGAAUUUCAAACGCUGCUCCUGCAGGACAUCCAACAGACAACUUAUUUACAAGAUGCGGGCCACAGAGCAAACCUGCCUGAUGGAUGGUCAUCCAGAUUAUUUGUGCAGAUGCUGGAAGACAACCACAGUGCAGACUGAGAAACUGUGUACACCCAGUUUUUCCGGUUUGAUUUCCUUUGGAAUAAAUGGCUGCCCUAGGAAGCCAGACAUGUUGAACUCUAUAAUGAAAAAGCAAGAUUGUUACAGGAGAGUAUUACACCAAGAGA